rnacentral:rRNA from 1 species
GCUAGCUACAGGCUUAACACAUGCAAGUCGAGGGGCAUCAGGAAGAAAGCUUGCUUUCUUUGCUGGCGACCGGCGCACGGGUGAGUAACACGUAUCCAACCUGCCCUUUACUCGGGGAUAGCCUUUCGAAAGAAAGAUUAAUACCCGAUAGCAUAAUGAUUCCGCAUGGUUUCAUUAUUAAAGGAUUCCGGUAAAGGAUGGGGAUGCGUUCCAUUAGGUUGUUGGUGAGGUAACGGCCCACCAAGCCUUCGAUGGAUAGGGGUUCUGAGAGGAAGGUCCCCCACAUUGGAACUGAGACACGGUCCAAACUCCUACGGGAGGCAGCAGUGAGGAAUAUUGGUCAAUGGGCGCUAGCCUGAACCAGCCAAGUAGCGUGAAGGAUGAAGGCUCUAUGGGUCGUAAACUUCUUUUAUAUAAGAAUAAAGUGCAGUAUGUAUACUGUUUUGUAUGUAUUAUAUGAAUAAGGAUCGGCUAACUCCGUGCCAGCAGCCGCGGUAAUACGGAGGAUCCGAGCGUUAUCCGGAUUUAUUGGGUUUAAAGGGAGCGUAGGUGGACUGGUAAGUCAGUUGUGAAAGUUUGCGGCUCAACCGUAAAAUUGCAGUUGAUACUGUCAGUCUUGAGUACAGUAGAGGUGGGCGGAAUUCGUGGUGUAGCGGUGAAAUGCUUAGAUAUCACGAAGAACUCCGAUUGCGAAGGCAGCUCACUGGACUGCAACUGACACUGAUGCUCGAAAGUGUGGGUAUCAAACAGGAUUAGAUACCCUGGUAGUCCACACAGUAAACGAUGAAUACUCGCUGUUUGCGAUAUACAGUAAGCGGCCAAGCGAAAGCAUUAAGUAUUCCACCUGGGGAGUACGCCGGCAACGGUGAAACUCAAAGGAAUUGACGGGGGCCCGCACAAGCGGAGGAACAUGUGGUUUAAUUCGAUGAUACGCGAGGAACCUUACCCGGGCUUAAAUUGCAGUGGAAUGAUGUGGAAACAUGUCAGUGAGCAAUCACCGCUGUGAAGGUGCUGCAUGGUUGUCGUCAGCUCGUGCCGUGAGGUGUCGGCUUAAGUGCCAUAACGAGCGCAACCCUUAUCUUUAGUUACUAACAGGUUAUGCUGAGGACUCUAGAGAGACUGCCGUCGUAAGAUGUGAGGAAGGUGGGGAUGACGUCAAAUCAGCACGGCCCUUACGUCCGGGGCUACACACGUGUUACAACGGGGGGUACAGAAGGCAGCUAGCGGGUGACCGUAUGCUAAUCCCAAAAUCCUCUCUCAGUUCGGAUCGAAGUCUGCAACCCGACUUCGUGAAGCUGGAUUCGCUAGUAAUCGCGCAUCAGCCACGGCGCGGUGAAUACGUUCCCGGGCCUUGUACACACCGCCCGUCAAGCCAUGGGAGCCGGGGGUACCUGAAGUACGUAACCGCAAGGAUCGUCCUAGGGUAAAACUGGUGACU